GGGACACGUGGUAUCCUGUCUGAAUAUGGGGGGACCAUCCUCCAAGGCUAAAUACUCCUGACUGACCGAUAGUGAACCAGUACCGUGAGGGAAAGGCGAAAAGAACCCCGGCGAGGGGAGUGAAAAAGAACCUGAAACCGUGUACGUACAAGCAGUGGGAGCACGCUUAGGCGUGUGACUGCGUACCUUUUGUAUAAUGGGUCAGCGACUUAUAUUCUGUAGCAAGGUUAACCGAAUAGGGGAGCCGAAGGGAAACCGAGUCUUAACUGGGCGUUAAGUUGCAGGGUAUAGACCCGAAACCCGGUGAUCUAGCCAUGGGCAGGUUGAAGGUUGGGUAACACUAACUGGAGGACCGAACCGACUAAUGUUGAAAAAUUAGCGGAUGACUUGUGGCUGGGGGUGAAAGGCCAAUCAAACCGGGAGAUAGCUGGUUCUCCCCGAAAGCUAUUUAGGUAGCGCCUCGUGAAUUCAUCUCCGGGGGUAGAGCACUGUUUCGGCAAGGGGGUCAUCCCGACUUACCAACCCGAUGCAAACUGCGAAUACCGGAGAAUGUUAUCACGGGAGACACACGGCGGGUGCUAACGUCCGUCGUGAAGAGGGAAACAACCCAGACCGCCAGCUAAGGUCCCAAAGUCAUGGUUAAGUGGGAAACGAUGUGGGAAGGCCCAGACAGCCAGGAUGUUGGCUUAGAAGCAGCCAUCAUUUAAAGAAAGCGUAAUAGCUCACUGGUCGAGUCGGCCUGCGCGGAAGAUGUAACGGGGCUAAACCAUGCACCGAAGCUGCGGCAGCGACGCUUAUGCGUUGUUGGGUAGGGGAGCGUUCUGUAAGCCUGCGAAGGUGUGCUGUGAGGCAUGCUGGAGGUAUCAGAAGUGCGAAUGCUGACAUAAGUAACGAUAAAGCGGGUGAAAAGCCCGCUCGCCGGAAGACCAAGGGUUCCUGUCCAACGUUAAUCGGGGCAGGGUGAGUCGACCCCUAAGGCGAGGCCGAAAGGCGUAGUCGAUGGGAAACAGGUUAAUAUUCCUGUACUUGGUGUUACUGCGAAGGGGGGACGGAGAAGGCUAUGUUGGCCGGGCGACGGUUGUCCCGGUUUAAGCGUGUAGGCUGGUUUUCCAGGCAAAUCCGGAAAAUCAAGGCUGAGGCGUGAUGACGAGGCACUACGGUGCUGAAGCAACAAAUGCCCUGCUUCCAGGAAAAGCCUCUAAGCAUCAGGUAACAUCAAAUCGUACCCCAAACCGACACAGGUGGUCAGGUAGAGAAUACCAAGGCGCUUGAGAGAACUCGGGUGAAGGAACUAGGCAAAAUGGUGCCGUAACUUCGGGAGAAGGCACGCUGAUAUGUAGGUGAAGUGAUUUACUCAUGGAGCUGAAAUCAGUCGAAGAUACCAGCUGGCUGCAACUGUUUAUUAAAAACACAGCACUGUGCAAACACGAAAGUGGACGUAUACGGUGUGACGCCUGCCCGGUGC
rnacentral:rRNA from 1 species